rnacentral:misc_RNA from 1 species
AGGAACUUGAACUGUCAGACCCAUUUUGAUAUUUAUUAUCUGCCCCCAUUUUCUCUUCACAUGCUAGCAAAAGAGCUAGCUUUGAUGGAGUAAAUUCCCUCGCACGAUUAUUAGUUCCAAAGGACAAGGUUGCUGCUGAACAAUUCAUGGCAGGAGAACUAUUAUGCUUAUGGAUAAUCUUUUGAAUUUUUGUCAUCUUAGGUUUCUCAGUUGAACAAUUGUCAUCAACAUCUUGAUUAUUACAAUUCCCUUCUUCAAUGACACUUGAAGCCCUUUUUCUUUUGAGCACUUCAGUCUCACGUUCAGCAACUGCUUGCCCUGAUUGUGCCUGGUCCCCAUGUGCUGUGAUAGCCAUCUCUUUUGUACCCAAAAAUUCACACGGAGAAGAGUCAUCAUCACUAUCCACAAUCUCAACAAUGUCACCUAGUACAGGUCUUCCACUGCCUAUUAUUUUCAAAUCUCGAUCUCCAUCCUCUAAUAAAGGACAACUAGAGCUGCCAUCUGCAUCCUCUGGUAUAAGACAACUAAGGCUGCCAUCUGCCUUCAUAUGCGCAUUUUCAUUCUCCUCCAAUUCAAUCUUCACAGUUUUAAGAUUUUCACCACUCUUCUCAUUUUCAAUAACAGCCUUCUCUGCCUUCUCUCCCAAAAAAUCCCUAGAAACCCUAGCACUUGUGUCCCUCGAUGGCUCAAGGCUCUUCAAGAACACCGUAUCUUUUUCCAAGAAUGAAACUCGUGGCUCCAGUUCAUCAAAUCUCCUCUUAUAAAUCUCUGCCUCCGUCUCAGCUUUCAACUUAGCACAUUCUAAUUCACAAUUCUUUCUCUUAAGCUCAAUUAUUGUUUGCUGAUUCACUGCAUCAGCUUCUAAUCUCUCAUUUAAAUCAUUUAGCUCUUGG